AAGAUCAUACUUCACAGGAUCAUUUCUGUAGUAUGUAUCGCCCGCAUAGUUAAACAACUUUGCACCCCGAGACUCCACGAUGAAGAGUGACAAUUAGAGAUCCUGAGCGUGAAAAGGACUGUUGUGUGGUUAUCCACUCUUAUGUCAUUGAUGAUCGUUCACCCUCAGUUCUUGGACUGAGGGGAUGGAUUUCUAAUAGUCUGAGUGGU